rnacentral:rRNA from 1 species
AGGGUGGGGGUCGUCUUGAAGCUCGACUUUGAGAAAGCGUACGAUAAGGUGAACUGGGAAUUUUUGUUGGAAUGUCAUAAGCUUCGUGGUUUUAGUGACACGUGGUGCAACUGGAUUAAACAGAUCCUACUCAAUGGUACAGUUAGUAUCAAACUUAAUAAUCAGGUCGGUCCUUAUUUCCAGAGUGCUAAGGGUGUUCGACAAGGGGAUCCCCACUCCCCUUUCCUGUUUAAUCUAGCCGCUGAUUGUCUUGCGAAGAUGAUCUCCAAUGCCCAAAAUAAUAACUUUGAACUAUCAUAA